rnacentral:rRNA from 1 species
AUACGUAGGGGGCGAGCGUUGUCCGGAAUGAUUGGGCGUAAAGGGCGCGUAGGCGGCUUUGCAAGUCAGUAGUGGAAGUCCAUUUUUCAAGGAUGGAAGUGCUACAGAAACUGCGGAGCUUGAGUGCAGGAGAGGUUAUCGGAAUUCCCGGUGUAGCGGUGAAAUGCGUAGAGAUCGGGAGGAACACCAGUGGCGAAGGCGGGUAACUGGACUGCAACUGACGCUGAGGCGCGAAAGUGUGGGGAGCAAACAGGAUUAGAUACCCUGGUAGUCCACACUGUAAACGAUGAAUGCUAGGUGUAGGAGGUAUCGACCCCUCCUGUGCCGGAGUAAACACAAUAAGCAUUCCGCCUGGGGAGUACGGCCGCAAGGUUGAAACUCAAAUGAAUUGACGGGG